GUUCAUUUCAACUUUAAAAUAUCAUAAUAAAAAUAUAACAUUUACAAUUAAGACAAGUAGUCAAGGCACAUACAUAUGUAUAUAUAUAGUAACAUCACAAUUUGUUAUGAUAUAUGUUAACAAAUCACAAACAUUGAGCAAGGAAUGUACAUGAAGUUUUUAUUUAUUAAUUUAUUAAUGAGAUAAUAAGGAACAUGCUAGGUACAGCACCAUGAUACAAUGAUACAAUUGUUAAUUAAGAGGGUCUUCCAUUUUUUUUACCAUUUAUCUCUUCUUGUUAUUUAUUUUGCCCAUUGUUUUCUUUUUAUGGGGUAAUUUUUGCCAUUUUUUUUUGUAUGCCCAUUAUUUUGCAUCAUUCUCUAUUCUGUAAACCCCAUCCAGCCUAAGUGAAAGAGUACAAAGUAUGGUUAACCAUAUCCAACAUAUUUUAUGGCAGCUAGGGAAAGUAAGUCCUUAUUGUACACAACAGGAACCUAAUUCUUUUGUAAGAACCAAAGCUGAGGGGUAUAAAUAAAGCCAAUUCAGUAUGAAAUGGGGGACUAGAUAUCAUAAAUCUAAUGCCCUGGGGCUGUUAUAUUGCAAAUAAAAUAUACAAAAUAUUCUGGUAUUGACAGAUCUAAUAAUUUGCAUAAAAGUAUCUUUAUGGCAUACAUGUCUUGUAGAAUUUUAUCAAAUAAAUCUACAAAAUUUGUUAUCACUUUCUUUUAACAGUCAAAAUUAAUUAAGAUUCCACAUAAAAAAUGUGAUUUUUUUUAAAGUGGUCCCCUUUUGGUCCCCUGAAACCUUUUAUCUUUUCUAACAAAUUACAAAAUACAAGAAGUUUAACAGUUAAAUUUAGCUACAAUUUUGAUUAAUGUUAACUAGUUGAAUUAUUAUAUAAAAUUACAACAAAUAAAUUGAAUAUAUAUGUACAUUUUGUUCUAUUUUUUUUUUAUAUAUGUAAAGUAAGUUCUAACAGAUCUAUAUGUACAAUUAAUACAUUCUCAAACUUUAUAUGUACUUGUCAAGCAUAGAAUUAGAAACAUUUGCAUUGAUUAUUUUAUUAGCAUUAACAUUUAAAAUGUACCUGAAUAUAUAUAA
rnacentral:lncRNA from 1 species